GGAAGGAUCAUUAUUGAAUGAACUUGGCUUGGUUGCUGCUGGUCUUUUCGAAGACAUGUGCACGCCAUGUCAUCUUUAUAUCUCCACCUGUGCACCUUUUGUAGACCUGGAUUCAAUUUUCCGAGGUAACUCGGUCGUGAGGAACUGCUUAACGGCUUUCCUUGUUAGUUUCCAGGCCUAUGUUUUCAUAUACACCAUACGAAUGUAACAGAAUGUCAUUAUUAGGCUUAAUUGUCUUAUAAACUAUAUACAACUUUCAGCAACGGAUCUCUUGGCUCUCGCAUCGAUGAAGAACGCAGCGAAAUGCGAUAAGUAAUGUGAAUUGCAGAAUUCAGUGAAUCAUCGAAUCUUUGAACGCACCUUGCGCUCCUUGGUAUUCCGAGGAGCAUGCCUGUUUGAGUGUCAUUAAAUUCUCAACCUUUGUUAACUUUUUGGUUAGCAAAUGGCUUGGAUGUGGGGGUAUGCAGGUUUCUCUAUUGAAAUUAGCUCCCCUGAAAUACAUUAGCUGGUUGCCUUGUGUAAACCUGUCUAUUGGUGUGAUAAUUAUCUACGCCGUGGACUAUUUGCCGUUUUUAGCACUGCUUAUAAUCGUCUGUUCAUUCGGACAAUAUAUGACAAUUUGACCUCAAAUCAGGUAGGACUACCCGCUGAACUUAAGCAUAUCAAUAAGCGGAGGAAAAGAAACUAACAAGGAUUCCCCUAGUAACUGCGAGUGAAGCGGGAAAAGCUCAAAUUUAAAAUCUGGCGGUCUUUGGCCGUCCGAGUUGUAAUCUAGAGAAGUGUUAUCCGCGCUGGACCGUGUACAAGUCUCCUGGAAUGGAGCGUCAUAGAGGGUGAGAAUCCCGUCUUUGACACGGACUGCCAGGGCUUUGUGAUGCGCUCUCAAAGAGUCGAGUUGUUUGGGAAUGCAGCUCAAAAUGGGUGGUAAAUUCCAUCUAAAGCUAAAUAUUGGCGAGAGACCGAUAGCGAACAAGUACCGUGAGGGAAAGAUGAAAAGAACUUUGGAAAGAGAGUUAAACAGUACGUGAAAUUGCUGAAAGGGAAACGCUUGAAGUCAGUCGCAUUGUGUGGGAAUCAACCUUGCUUUUGCUGGGCGUACUUUCCAUAUGAUGGGUCAGCAUCAAUUUUGACCGUUGGAUAAAGUUCAAGGGAAUGUGGCAUCUUCGGAUGUGUUAUAGCCUUUGGUCGCAUACAACGAUUGGGAUUGAGGAACUCAGCACGCCGAAAGGCCGGGUCUUGUACCACGUUCGUGCUUAGGAUGCUGGCAUAAUGGCUUUAAUCGACCCGUCUUGAAACACGGACCAAGGAGUCUAACAUGCCUGCGAGUAUUUGGGUGGAAAACCCGAGUGCGUAAUGAAAGUGAAAGUUGAGAUCCUUGUCAUGGGGAGCAUCGACGCCCGGACCAGACCUUUUGUGACGGAUCUGCGGUAGAGCAUGUAUGUUGGGACCCGAAAGAUGGUGAACUAUGCCUGAAUAGGGUGAAGCCAGAGGAAACUCUGGUGGAGGCUCGUAGCGAUUCUGACGUGCAAAUCGAUCGUCAAAUUUGGGUAUAGGGGCGAAAGACUAAUCGAACCAUCUAGUAGCUGGUUCCUGC
rnacentral:misc_RNA from 1 species